rnacentral:rRNA from 1 species
GACGAACGCUGGCGGCGUGCUUAACACAUGCAAGUCGAACGGUAAGGCCCUCCGGGGUACACGAGUGGCGAACGGGUGAGUAACACGUGGGUGAUCUGCCCUGCACUUCGGGAUAAGCCUGGGAAGCUGGGUCUAAUACCGGAUAGGACCCUGGGAUGCAUGUCCUGGGGUGGAAAGCUUUUGCGGUGUGGGAUGGGCCCGCGGCCUAUCAGCUUGUUGGUGGGGUGAUGGCCUACCAAGGCGACGACGGGUAGCCGGUCUGAGAGGGUGACCGGCCACACUGGGACUGAGAUACGGCCCAGACUCCUACGGGAGGCAGCAGUGGGGAAUAUUGCACAAUGGGCGCAAGCCUGAUGCAGCGACGCCGCGUGAGGGAUGACGGCCUUCGGGUUGUAAACCUCUUUCAGCACCGACGAAGCGCAAGUGACGGUAGGUGCAGAAGAAGGACCGGCCAACUACGUGCCAGCCGCCGCGGUAA